rnacentral:rRNA from 1 species
UACGGGAGGCAGCAGUGGGGAAUAUUGCACAAUGGGCGCAAGCCUGAUGCAGCCAUGCCGCGUGUAUGAAGAAGGCCUUCGGGUUGUAAAGUACUUUCAGUCGUGAGGAAGGUGUUAAGGUUAAUAACCUUAGCAAUUGACGUUAGCGACAGAAGAAGCACCGGCUAACUCCGUGCCAGCAGCCGCGGUAAUACGGAGGGUGCGAGCGUUAAUCGGAAUUACUGGGCGUAAAGGGCACGCAGGCGGUUAAUUAAGUUGGAUGUGAAAUCCCCGGGCUUAACCUGGGAAUGGCAUUCAAGACUGGUUAGCUAGAGUCUUGUAGAGGGGGUAGAAUUCCAUGUGUAGCGGUGAAAUGCGUAGAGAUGUGGAGGAAUACCGGUGGCGAAGGCGGCCCCUGGGCAAAGACUGACGCUCAUGUGCGAAAGCGUGGGGAGCGAAACAGGGAUUAGAUACC